rnacentral:rRNA from 2 species
UUGGGCCUAAAGCAUCCGUAGCCGGCUGUUCAAGUUUCCGGUUAAAUCACACGCUUAACGUAUGGGCUGCCGGAAAUACUGUUCAGCUAGGGAGUGGGAGAGGUGGACGGUACUCGGUAGGAAGGGGUAAAAUCCUUUGAUCUAUUGAUGACCACCUGUGGCGAAGGCGGUCCACCAGAACACGUUCGACGGUGAGGGAUGAAAGCUGGGGGAGCAAACCGGAUUAGAUACCCGGGUAGUCCCAGCUGUAAACGAUGCAGACUCGGUGAUGCACUGGCUUGUGGCCAGUGCAGUGCCGCAGGGAAGCCGUUAAGUUUGCCGCCUGGGAAGUACGUACGCAAGUAUGAAACUUAAAGGAAUUGGCGGGGGAGCACAA